GAUCAUGGCUCAGGACGAACGCUGGCGGCGUGCCUAAUACAUGCAAGUUGAGCGAUGAAGAUUGGUGCUUGCACCAAUUUGAAGAGCAGCGAACGGGUGAGUAACGCGUGGGGAAUCUGCCUUUGAGCGGGGGACAACAUUUGGAAACGAAUGCUAAUACCGCAUAAUAACUUUAAACAUAAGUUUUAAGUUUGAAAGAUGCAAUUGCAUCACUCAAAGAUGAUCCCGCGUUGUA
rnacentral:rRNA from 1 species